GUUUUGUCUCCUUAUGUCUAGAGAAGCACUAAAAUCAUUAAUGGUGACAUCUGAUCAUAUCUCCCUUUACUAAAAUCAUGUAUAUUCUGAUCUCUCCUCCCACCUCUUGAGAGCAGUUUCUCAGAACUAUCUGAAACGCCGUCUCCCAGGCUAUAUCUUCAUUUUGCCCCAAAUAAAACAUGAUUUGCAGCUCUCUCAUUGUUUUUGUUUUUUUUUUCUCCCAGUCGACACUCUAUCCAACCUGAUGCAGUCACUUAAGUCAUCUGCCUGACCCUUGGGGGGAAUUCGCACUGCUGAUUUGAACUAGGUACUCAUUAAUUCUUUACUCAUAAUUGCUGAGUUCCAACUCUAGGUAUCACAUAUUGUUCUAAGUAUUGAGGUUAUAAUAGUAAAUAGAAGAGACAAGACUCCUCCGCCAAAAACAUCUAGUUGGGUUAUUUACUCUGAAAUGAAUUUUUAUCUUAUUUGGAAAUAGAAGUAGUCAGAUCAAACUUUGUCAUGGCUACUUUUGUUUCUAAAGCCAGGAACUUAGAUGACUCACAAUCCAGCAUGGGUUGUCAUGGUGUCUCAGAAGAUACAGAGCUGUGUUGCCAUCAUUACAAACUUGAUCAAGCACCUGAGUUUCAGAAAUUAUUUCUACUGCUCCCCUCUGCUUGUGGCAAACAUUUCUCUCCUCCCACAUCCCUGAAGUCUGAGAGACUCUUCCUACAUGGGCAACGAACAAGAAGUUCUAAGGCAGAAGGAGUUGGAUCCCACUGUUGAAUGCCCCACCUCUGCUGCUGCCUUAUCCUCAUGCCCUAGGUCAUUUCUCCUUCACUCAUCCUUCCGUCUCCAUCCCAGGUCUCUCUCAACCCACUGCCAAUCUCUGAGCGUGAAUGUAAAGCAGGGAACCAAUGAAAAUGCCCAAUAAAUAGCUGGCUUCUUAAAUCCAUCUGCUUAUCUUUGCAGUUUGGGAGUGGGGAGAGGAAGGGAAUAAUAAAUCAAAGCAUUGGCUCAACAGUUAUCAGAGCAGGAAAAGAAACUAGGAAAAGAAUAAAAGCAAUCGUGAAACCAACUGCCCAC
ensembl:lncRNA